GCAGUGGGCUGCCCAUGGUCAGGAGGAGUUUGUUGUGAAGAGUAGUGGAGUGGAAUCGUGGCUAUCACCGGGACAUGCCAUGUGGAGUCUGUCACGGGGAGUGGAGCGGCGUCCGUUGUCGCGACUUACCAGAGGAGGAAACGCGCGGUAUCCGUCGCAGGAAGUGGAGCAGAAUCAUGAUCAUUAUGGUGGUCUGCCAGGGAGUGAUGGAGCCACGCAGAAUCCAUCGCAGAAAGUGGAGCAGUAUCGUGGCCG
rnacentral:lncRNA from 1 species